UACGUGGGGUGCAAACGUUGCUCGGAAUUACUGGGCGUAAAGCGUGCGUAGGCGGUUUAGUGUGUGGGAUUUGAAAGCCCGGGGCUCAACUCCGGAUCCGGAUCCCAAACUGCUAGACUCGAGAGUAUCAGAGGAGAGCGGAAUUCCCGGUGUAGAGGUGAAAUUCGUAGAUAUCGGGAGGAACACCAGUGGCGAAGGCGGCUCUCUGGGCAGAUACUGACACUGAGACGCGAAAGCGUGGGUAGCAAACAGG
rnacentral:rRNA from 1 species